rnacentral:rRNA from 1 species
AGCAGCCGCGGUAAUUCCAGCUCCAAUAGCGUAUAUUAAAGUUGUUGCAGUUAAAAAGCUCGUAGUUGAACCUUGGGUCUGGCCGGGCGGUCCGCCCUUCGGGUGAGCACUGUUCCGACGUCGGGCCUAUCCUUCUGGUGAGUCGGCAUGUCCUUUAUUGGGUGCGUCGGGGAACCAGGACCAUUACCUUGAAAAAAUUAGAGUGUUCAAAGCAGGCGUAUGCUCGGAUACAUUAGCAUGGAAUAAUAAAAUAGGACGGCAUGGUUCUAUUUUGUUGGUUUCUGAAUCACCGUAAUGAUUAAUAGGGAUAGUUGGGGGCAUUAGUAUUCAAUUGUCAGAGGUGAAAUUCUUGGAUUUAUUGAAGACUAACUACUGCGAAAGCAUUUGCCAAGGAUGUUUUCAUUAAUCAAGAACGAAAGUUAGGGGAUCGAAGACGAUCAGAUACCGUCGUAGUCUUAACCAUAAACUAUGCCGACUAGGGAUCGGAUGAUGUUAAUUUUUUAAUGACUCAUUCGGCGCCUUACGGGAAACCAAAGUGUUU